UACGUAGGGCGCAAGCGUUAUCCGGAAUUAUUGGGCGUAAAGAGCUCGUAGGCGGUCUGUCACGUCGGCUGUGAAAUCCCGAGGCUCAACCUCGGGUCUGCAGUCGAUACGGGCAAACUAGAGUAUUGCAGGGGAGACUGGAAUUCCUGGUGUAGCGGUGAAAUGCGCAGAUAUCAGGAGGAACACCGGUGGCGAAGGCGGGUCUCUGGGCAAUAACUGACGCUGGAGGAGCGAAAGCGUGGGGAGCGAACAGG
rnacentral:rRNA from 1 species